GGGGGGAUGCACACAGGGGGGGGUGCUAUUUUUCAUGAUAAAGCAAAAAAUUAUCAGAGACAAAAUGAGAUUCAGUAAUUUGAGUAAUAACAUGAUGAUAAGCGAACUGUGAACAACAAUUUCAAUUCAAAUACUGUAGCUAGACUUUGCAGUGGUUAAGCAAGUUGAUGGAUGUGUAAAGUCACUGGAAAGCAAUUGAAACGUACUCGUCCGGAAAAAAUGUUUCCCUAAAAAGUUGUCGAUGGGGGGGGGGAGGUUGUUGCUUUCCGAAAUUUUUUUUGGCGGAGCACCCCCUCCCCCCCCCUACCAGACCAUACUGGAUCCAUCCCUGUAAUUUCUAGUCUUCAAUCUGUCCUGACCGUGCAGCUCAUUAAUUAAGAAGAAAAUGUUCUCGAUAAUGCAAAGCUACUUCCCUUGUGGCCCUGAGCACUCUGGCCACAUUAUACUCUGCGGAUGUCUGGAUAAGUUGAUGUCAUUGUGUUAUGGCUUGUUGUGAGCAAGCUCAUGCGAUAUAUAGAGGAUAUUACAUGGCGGCGCGAAGAUAGGACUUUUAUCUUCGAGUGGUGAAAACAAUAUUUUACAAACGAGCGCAGCGAGUGAGUAAAAUAUUGUUUUUAACACGAGAAGAUAAAAGUCAUAUCAAGUCAUAUCUUCAAGCCACCGUGUAAUGUUCUGUUUAUUAUAUAGUCCCAAGCCAAAAAUUGUAUAAAUACUAAAAGUCACGUGAUCGAUAUCUUCACUAGUGAAGAUAUGGAAAAUAUCUCACUGUGUCUUUUUCAGUAUCUCACUCUCUACUAUAUAAUAAAUGUAUAUACAUGUACAGGGUGUAUAAAAAAAGUAAUUGAACUUCAGCGCGCUAUUGUACGUGAAUUACUCGGCGUAUGAACAAAUUAUUUUCAUAUUCGGAAUGAUCAGGCUUUUAGCUAUUGAAUGACAUGUUUUGCAUGCCAAAUGGAGAACAAAUAGGCAAGUACGAGUCCGAUAAAAACUGUUAGUCAGAAUCGCAUAUUUUCACCUCUGUGCCUAAUUAAAGCAGUGCAUAACAAAAAAGAAAACAAUUAAUCACGAACUUGUUAUAGCUUAGCUAAGAUUUAUUCCUACUUAAUAAUAUUACAGUGGUGUAACUUUACUUUUUUGACCACUUGCCAAGUUGGACAUGAAAAUUAGUUACCCUGAAUAAAAUUCACUUGUCAUCAGACAAUGGCCACUGGGGUACCUAGGUAUAGGAGGUUAAAUUUAGGGGACAACAUGUCAACUCGCUCUAUAUGGCUAUAUGUUAUACUGCCUCAGAUCUAGAAGUUUGGCCCACAAAAACCAAAAUUUGAAUCAAGUAUGAAUCAAGUACAUGCACUAUAAAAAAUUUAUCCGACAAUGAAAACAUAAACUUAAAGAUGCCUAGCUUUUUGUGGCAAGGCGACUUGCCCAGUCGGGCAAGCAAGAUAAAACAUUUACCUGCCCGUAUGAUAUUCACUUGCCCCGGGCAAGUGUUCAGUUACACCUCUUUUUUUUAAGUGAAAUUCAUCAACUUAGGUACAAAAAUAUGCGAUUCUGACUAACACUUUUUAUCGGAUUCGUAUUUGCUCACUUUUUAUCCAUUUGGCGCGAAGAACAUAUCAUUGAACAGCUAAAAACCUGAUCUUUCCGAAUAUGAAACAAAAUUUGUUCAUAUGCCGAGUAAUUCACACACAAUAGCGUGCUGAAGUUCGAUUACUUUUUCUUAUACACCCUGAAUAUAAACCUUAAACUCCAAACCAUAAACUCUAAGCGUGCAAAGCAUAAUGGGAGCAUCAUUUAAUCAGUUUAGAAAUAAACUAGGGAUCCAAGGAUAGUGCAAUGUUUCUGAAAACUUGAAAAGUCAAUACGGUAAUAUCAAAUCUUUCGAACAUAUUGUUCAUAGUUUUGCAAUUCAUUUGUCCAAAUGAUGCGGUUUGCGAAUGCAAAACUGUUGCAAAUUAAUUUUGUUGUAAAUUACCAGUAAGCUUGAAGUAGACGGAAUUUUGAA